UUUGGUAAUCAGAAACCACGAGAAUCUGUUGAUCUUAUUGAGAUUGUUGUUAUUAACAUCCUUUUGUUUGACUUGAAGAGAUUUGAGAGAAAGAAAGUAAAGUAUUCAAGAACAUAUUUUCAUACAUGCCAAAAAGGUUCUUUGUUACACAUACAUAUAUAGAUCUUUCCUAUGUUUUCUUUUUACCAACUUCAACAGUUAGCUAUGACCACUAGUCUAGCUCAAACACAUCGCCACUUAGAAACAGUAACACUAGUACUUAAGUAAACCUAUUUAUCAAAAGAAACACCUACUCCCUAGUUAACUUAACUUAACUUUCCUAGUUUGGUUUGAGAAACAAAUGGGCAUCAUUCAACACUCCUUCUUGCCCUUUUGUCAAUCAAACCAAGCUUAAAUCGAAAGUACUCAUAGCUCUGACUUCCCAAGGGUUUAGUUAAUAUAUCGGCGAUUUGAUCUUCUCCAUUGCAGAACCUUAAUUGAAUAUCUCCAUUCUUCUCUGCUUCUCUCACUACAUGAUACUUGAUUUGAACAUGCUUAGUCCUCCGGUAUUGAAUAGGAUUUUUCCCUAUCGCUAUAGCAGACUGACUGUCACAGUAGAUAGGUAUUCCUUCAUUGGUUAUGAAAUUCAGAUCAUCAAGAAGUCUUCUUAACCAAGCUGCUUGAUUUGUUGUUGCACAUAAAGCCAUAUACUCUGCUUCUGCAGUGGUCUAAGCAAUGGUGUCUUGAUUACUUGUUUGCCGCGAAAAAAUUGCAGACCCAAUGUUGAAACAAUACCCUGUAGUUGAUUUAAGAUCCUCUCUACAUCCUCCCCAAUCGCUAUUUGAAUACCCAAUUAAUCUUGGCUCAUCAACCGCAGUGAACAUCAAUCCAAAGCUUAGAGUUCCUUGAAUAUAUCUAAGUACUCGUUUUGCCUCCUUGAAGUGUCUGACCUUAGGUUCCUUCAAAUACCGUGACAGGUAAGAUGCUGAGAACAUGAGGUCAGGUCGAGUGGCUGUCAAGUAAAGAAGACCUCCCACAAGACUUUUGUAGACUCCAGCCUCAGCAAACUCUUCUUCUUCUUCGUUUUGGGUUUUGCCUUGAGGUACUAGUAGAGUUUUCAUGCUAGUGCAGUCUUUCAUGUUGAACCUUUCAAGCAGCUUCUUUGAGUAACAUUCUUGAGACAGAGAGAUUCCUUCUUUCUUGUUGGUUUAUCUUCAUUCCUAGAAAGUAGUUCAAUAACUCCAAAUCUGACAUCUCAAACUCAUUUUUCAUGGUUGUCUUGAAGUCUUCUAUCAUCUUCUCAUCGUCGCCUGUAACAAUGAGGUCAUCCACAUAUAUAAAAACUACAAAAAGCUUCCCAUGAUCAUUUUUAGUAUACAAAGCAUGAUCGUUUUUACUCCUUUUGAAGUUCUCUCUCAAGAAGAACUCAUCUAUUUGGCUAUACCAGGCUCUUGGAGCCUGCUUUAAACCAUAGAGAGCUUUAUGCAGCCGAAAAACAUGAUCCUCUUUUCCUUCCUCCUCAAAUCCCAUAGGUUGUUCUACAUAUAUCUCUUCUUCAAGCUUUCCAUUCAAGAAUGCCGACUUAACAUCUAACUGAAACAACUUCCAUUUUCUCUAAGCAGCCACAACAAGAAAUACUCAAAUUGUUUCAUGUCUAGAGACAGGCGCAAACGUUUCUAGAUAAUUAACCCCAUAUUGUUGAGUGAAUCCCCUUGCAACCAGUCUAGCCUUGUGUCUUACAGUGUUUCCUUUUGCAUCUUGUUUCAGCCGGUAUAUCCAUUUCACUCCUACCACAUUUUUGGUUUCAGGUCUUUCCACUAGCUCCCAAGUUUGGUUUUUCACGAUCAUCUGUAUCUCUUCCUCCAUUGCUUCUCUCCAUUCAGAGUGUUUAGCAGCCUUUUCAAAUAGACUUGGUUCUUGAAUUUGUAUAGCACUCUUCCAUUACUCCCGAAUACUCAAUAUUCGUAUAUGGUGCUGUAAGAAGAAUAUCUUCAAGAGACCGAGUCUUUCUGUUUGGUUGACUUGAACUUCCACCAGAACUAUAGUUAACCGAGCUUGAGACAGGUGAUCGAAUAUCUCUUGUUUAUGUAAGUUCUUCACUGCUUGAGCUUGAGUCAUCUCCUGUUGAGCUUUCAUUUGUGACAUCAGAUUCAAGUGUGAUGUCAACCUGUUUGAUCACUUCCUUUCUUUUCCAGUCCCAUUUACUAUUUUCUUCAAAAAUGACAUCUCGGGAUAUGUCUAUCUUGUCUUCUUUCAGUAGAUACACUCUGUAUCCUUUUAUUUGUGAGCUGUACCCAAGGAAUAUCCCCUUCUUUGACUUGUCAUCCCACUUUCUUCUCUUUUCAUAUGGAAUGUGAACAUAGCACACACACCUGAAUAUCUUCAUGUGGCGGCUUACUAAGGGUUUUGAUCCAUACCAAGCUUCAAAUGGGGUUUUGCUUUCAAGAGCUCUGGUUGGAGUUCUGUUUUGCAUAUACGCUGCUGAGUAAACAGCUUCAGCCCAAAAAAUUAGAGGUAGAUCCUUGGAUUUGAUCAUUGCUCUUGCCAUUUCCACCAAGCUUCGAUUUCUUCUUUCUGAAACUCCAUUUUGCUGUGGAGAAUACGCUGCGGUUAGUUGUCUUUCAAUGCCAUUAUCUUCUAAGAAUCUUGUGAAAUCUCCAGAUAAGUAUUCUGUUCCUCUAUCGCUUCUGAUCUUCUUGAUCUUGAGGUUAACUUGGUUUCAACAAGAUUUUUAAACUUCUUGAAGGUUGGGAACACCUCUGAUUUAGUUUUCAGGAAAUAAACCCACACCAUUCUUGUGGCAUCAUCGAUGAAGGUGAGUAAGUACCUGCUUCCACUGAAUGACUUGUUUUGCAUUGGUCCACACACAUCGCUGUGAAUGAGCUCAAGUCUCUCUUUUGCUCUGUUUUCUGCUUCUUUUGGAAAGGAAUCUCUGCAGUGCUUGCUGAUGAUACAACUCUCACACUUUUCUUGAUUUGUCUUGAACUUGGGUAAGCUAACUACCAUCUCCUUUGACUGCAUUAUUUCUAAGUUUGUGUUUCCCGUGUGUCCCAGCCUUUUGUGCCAUAGUUUUGCAAUGUCUUCUUUAGCCACCAUGGUAGAUUCUUUGCCUGAUGACCAAUUGAUGUGGAAACUUUUAUUCUUCAUCUGGACUUCUCCUAUGCUUCUUCCAGAUUGAUCGUAGAUGAUACAACUUUUCUUUUGAAAGAUUACCUUAUACCCGUUUGUAAUCAUUUGUGGAACACUCAACAGGUUUUUGCCAAGUUUGGGAACUAGAAAGACAUCUCUUAUGAUUCUUUUGCCUCUCUUUGUGUUUACUUCCACAUCUCCUUUUCCUUUAGAGAUUAGCACAGCUCCAUCCCAACUUUUAUUGGAACAUUUAUACUUGUGUUGAUCUUGACAAAUAUCUUCUCAUCAAGAGUCAUGUGGUUUGUGCAUCCACUAUCGAUAAGCCACAUGCUUUUGUUGUUUGAUUUCUCAUCAUCUUGGUUUGCAGUAAUCCUGUGUUCUGCUCCCUCUUUCUCUCCAGCCUUCUUCAUAUCUCUUUCUUCUUUUGCGUGAAGUUCCUUCACGUCUUCUUUGGUUGUUUCUUCAACCAAUUUCUGCUUCCUUCCACCUGGUAAGCAGCCUUCCUUCUCUUGUUUGAUUUUUCUAACCACCAUCUUUCUUAUUUCUGAACCUUCUUGGUUCACAGCUUCCCUUUUUCUUGACGAGGCUCCAUGGAUCAAGAUGAGCUCUGAUACCAUGUUGAUCUUAUUGAGAUUGUUGUUAUUAACAUCCUUUUGUUUGACUUGAAGAGAUUUGAGAGAAAGAAAGUAAAGUACUCAAGAACAUAUUUUCAUACAUGCCAAAAAGGUUCUUUGUUACACAUACAUAUAUCGAUUUUUCCUCUGUUUUUUUUUACCAACUUCAACAGUUAGCUAUGACCACUAGUCUAACUCAAACACAUCGCCACUUAGAAACAGUAACACUAGUACUUAUCAAAAGAAACACCUACUCCUUUAACUUAACUUAACUUUUUUAGUUUUGGUUGAGAAACAAAUGGGCAUCAUUCAACAGAAUCGGUACUAUACAAUGGAAAGUAAACCGAACAGAGAAUUCAAGAUUAAAGUGAAGUAUAUAAUUUGCUACGGGAAAAUUGUUUCGAGAAACACAGAAUUUUUAUAAGAAGAAGAAAAAUCGCGUAAAUCUGUUGAGAAUUUCCAUCAAAAACAAUUGAAAAUAAGUCGGAUCAAUGAAAAAAAUCAAAAAAUCUGCAUACCGAUUUAGAUCUCCGGGAUAUAUGAAAUCUGCGAAGAGGAAGAAGGAGGAGGCGAUCUGGUGAGAGGGGAGAAGAAAGUAGGAAGAACAAGACUAAAGAUUUUUU
rnacentral:lncRNA from 1 species